UCGUCGUAAAACAGGAGCUUAAGAAGGAGGCUGAGGGAAACAGUAGUCCGGCAAUGGGAUUGAAGCCAUUCUUAUUGAGGAUGAUCCACAGCUUCGGACAUAACUUCCAGCAGCAAGAUCUGUGGUUGUGAGUUGGCAGGAAGAUACUUAGAGUGAGUGAAGAAUUUCAGCAGCCAACAACCCUUGACGGCAGUAACUUCAGCCAACAACUCUUUGAUUCCAGUACAAACCC